rnacentral:rRNA from 1 species
GAGACUCUGUGCGCGUGCAUAUCAAUAAGCGGAGGAAAAGAAACUAACAAGGAUUCCCUAGUAACGGCGAGUGAAGCGGGAAGAGCUCAAAUUUGAAAUCUUAAAGGGUUUCCCUUUACGAAUUGUAGCUUAAAGAAGUGUUUUCUGUUGGAGUUUCGGUAAAAGUUCUUUGGAAUAGGACAUCAUAGAGGGUGAGAAUCCCGUAUUUGACCGUUACUUUCCAGCUGUGUGAUACACUUUCAAAGAGUCGGAUUGUUUGGGAAUGCAGUCCAAGAUGGGUGGUAAAUUUCAUCUAAAGCUAAAUAUUGGCGAGAGACCGAUAGCGAACAAGUACCGUGAGGGAAAGAUGAAAAGAACUUUGAAAAGAGAGUUAAACAGUACGUGAAAUUGUCAAAAGGGAAGCGUUUGACACCAGUGUUGUUUAGUUGAAAAUCAAUUCAAUAGUUUUUGAUUCUAAGUAGUAUUGACUUCAUCAGCUUGCUGCUUUCUUCUCAGAAAUUAUUGAAUGCACUCUUCAGUUAACAAGUCAACAUCAAUUUCUUUUGUUGUAAAAGGGUAAGAGGAAGGUGGCUUGCGCUUCGGCUCAAGUGUUUAUAGCCUUUUAUCUCUGCAAUCGGAGAGAUUGAGGUCUGCAGCGUAGAUCCUUCGGGGUUAGAUACAUUGGUGCUAAGCUAUAGCCUUGUAUAGACAACUUGUUGACUAUGCUCAGUCAUGUAGCUUACUCGCUGAUGCUAUUUUACCUACGCUUAGGAUGUUGAAGAUGUAGCACAUCAU